rnacentral:tRNA from 1 species
GCGCCCAUAGCUCAACUGGAUAGAGCGCUAGUCUUCGGAACUAGAUGUUGCAGGUUCAAUUCCUGCUGGGCGCA